GGAGGCGGACGAGGCGUGGCGCGUGACGCACCACUACUUCCACUUCGACCCGCUGCACGGCAACCACCGCGUGGAGGACGUCAACUUCCAGUGGACGGACGGCGUGUUCGGCGUGGCGCUGUCGCGGCCCGACGCGCAGGGCGAGCGCACCGUCUUCUUCCAGGCGCUGUCCAGCCUGCGCGAGUUCUCGGUGCCGGCCGGCGUGCUGCGCAACCGCACGGCCGCGCUCGCCGCCGGGCCCGACUCCUACUACCACUACCGGGACCUCGGCUUCAAGGGCAACGACACGCAGGCCACCGCCUCCUACCUCGACCUCGGCACCGGCGUGCUCUUCUUCACGCAGCUGAACCGCAACGGCGUGGCGUGCUGGAACACGCAGAAGCCCCUGGAGCCGGCCAACGUGCACUUGUUGGUCAGCGACGGCGAGCGCUUCUCCUUCCCCAACGACCUCAAGGUGGACGCCGAGGGCACCCUCUGGGUGCUCACCGACCGCCUGCCCGUCUACGUGUACAAGGGCGGCCUCGACCCCAACACGGUCAACUACCGCAUCUUCUCCACGGCCGUCAAAGACCUCAUCAAGGGCACCGUCUGCGAGGCGUAGUUGGUCGCCGAGGCUCGACGAUGACGCCGCAGAACUGUCCAGCGCAGCACUUCUAUUCAGCUCCCCUCCUCGCUCUUUUGUUAUGCUAACAACUCUGUGAAGGCGUAUAGUCAUCUGAGGACCUGAACUUUUCAUCAGUUAUGUUUUUUUAUUCAACACUCUCGUCUCCGCUCGUCGAAACCUCUUAGUCGGCGAAACUCUACUACUUUUUUUCUUCUGCUCGUGGAGCAACGAUUAGUCAAAAGAGCACUUGGAACUCGCCUUAUUAAAGGACUAGACGCUUUAUCACACCGCACCCAAUCUAUCAAAGCAUCAGUAUUGUUGUAUCAAAUUAUAAUGUGGGUUUAGAUCCAUCAAGACCUGACAUUUGGCAGAAAAAACGCUUACGGUGAUCAGUGAGGUGUGUUUGGAUAAACGUAGCUUAAGGUAAUGUCUGGGUUCCAAUCUUUUAAUCUCCGUGAGGAGCAGAAUAUUCCUCUGGUGAACAGACUGUUUUAUUCAUGAGCUACAAAAACAUUUGUUCUGCGGUUCGUAAUCAUCAAAUUAAAAUGUUUUCGUUAAUAGCUCAUAAUAAAAGGACGUCCAUUAAAAUGGAAAAAAGUAAUGUUGCAUGCGAAAUACAAGAUAAUAAGUGCCAAAAUAUACGCACAUAUCUUUAAAAAAUUAUAUGUAAGCUCAUUUUCUUCCAUUUAGAGGUAUACUGUCACUUUUUAACAUGAAAAAGAAGUACGAAAAAGCUACGGCACAGUUACAGCGUGAAAACUGCGAAUGAGAACGCAGCGUUAUUCUUUCCCCGUAGUAUUUGAGGAACUCAGCACUCCUUUAAAAUGACCCGUAGUAUUUGAGGAACUUAGCACUCCUUUAAAAUGAAAUACGUACCUGUCCUUUAUUUCUGGAGGCAACAACUGCAGCAUAUUACACUUAUGUCCAAUACGUGUUUGCUAUCUGCCACUUUUUGCUAUAAUGCUAUAUGUUUCGAUACAAGAAAUGUGCUAUAGUUUGAGCAAGUGCAGAAAAAGUAAAUACUUAAGACAUAUACGACAUAUUUUAUAAAUGCCUUUUGUUUCAGUGACCUUAUGUUUGAUAAUGGGCGUAUCCAGUAUUAAAUCACCAAGUCGUUUGUCUGUGUGCUCUAAUUUUAUCGAUAAAAUUUAGACACCGAAUUUCCCAUUAACAGUGCAGUCACUGCCGUGUGACUUCAUGCUAAUCUAUCAUUCCUCUGACGAAUGUAACAGUUCAGUAGUUCAGGGAAAUGAUGUGCUAAUAGCUAUUGAGUCACAGCCACAUACAAGUGGGAAAUAAACAGAGAUGUGGCGUUAAGACACACUUUUACAGAUACACAGGAAACGAGAGCAAAUGUGGUGCUGAACACAAACCGAUAGAGGUGGACUUAAAUUUUAUAUUAUGUUUUCUGAAGUGUGUUAUAUUUCGAGAAAGGAAGGUAUUGAAUAUCAGCUGUCCAAAUUACGUUGUGAGUAAAUACUUCAUUUCUACGUGUCUACAUAUAUGAAAACACUUGGACUUUGUAUCUGAGUAAUCGAUUCCCGUGCAUUUGCCAUACUUCAUUUAAACAUUUUCUGUCUGCCCUUAUCGUCUCUUUUCUGACAUUCUGUCAUUCAAGUACUGCAGACAGUUCACUAGAACCAUUUGUACCAACCAGAUAUAAAGAAAACUAUGGGCAGGUGCUCCCACGUUACAUAGGAAUAUUAUAUUUCUUUUGUUGUUAAAGUAUAAAUUGAUACUUUUCAUGAUGAGAAAGUGAACUGUAAUUCAUACACAAAAGACGACAUAAAAGUAAUAAAAUUUUUGUACAUUU